AAUAAGGAAGGACAGUGGGGCCUGGAAAAUGGAAUUUCCAGCUUAUCCGGAACUCAGUGCCAGAUUAUUACAACGGAAUAAUGAACCCUCUGUGAAACACUCCGUGUUAGAAUGCAGAAGCAGAGCUAAGUUUAACGUGGAGGUCUGGUUAGUAGUGUGUAAACUGGUCAUGUCUGCUCAAGGUUCUCGUGAGAACAAGACUACUUGCUCCAGCACUCACUACCUCAGAGUAUGA